rnacentral:rRNA from 1 species
ACACACGUGUUACAAUGGGGGGUACGAGGGGGCCGGCUGUCCGGUGACGGUCGGCCAAUCCCUAAAACCCCUCUCAGUUCGGACUGGAGUCUGCAACCCGACUCCACGAAGCUGGAUUCGCUAGUAAUCGCGCAUCAGCCAUGGCGCGGUGAAUACGUUCCCGGGCCUUGUACACACCGCCCGUCAAGCCAUGAAAGCCGGGGGUGCCUGAAGUCCGUGACCGCGAGGGUCGGCCUAGGGUAAAACUGGUGAUUGGGGCUAAGUCGUAACAAGGUACC